rnacentral:lncRNA from 1 species
UUUAGUUCCUUUAUGUCAUAGUUCUAGCUCGGCUGCCAGCUGGUUCACCUGAACAACUGCCCUCUGUGACUAAAUGAAUCUUCUACAUCUCUAUGCACACGAAAUGGAGAUGCUCAGAUGACCUACCUCAACAUGCUGUCGUGAUGGUGAGCUGAAAUAUUUGAAGAGAGGCUAUCAUGCGCGUGGCCUCCACUCUUCUCACAGACUCUCUCCUGGAAUAAUCCUUCAUCCGUAACAGCCUGAGGAACGCCCACUACAUCCUCAAGACUUACCUCACUGGG